rnacentral:rRNA from 1 species
GACGAACCACACAAACGUUAUUCGGAAUUACUGGGCUUAAAGGGUGCGUAGGCUGUGCGGAAAGUUGGGCGUGAAAUACCUCAGCUUAACUGAGGAACUGCGUUCAAAACUACCGUGCUCGAGGGAUACAGAGGUAAGCGGAACUUAGGGUGGAGCGGUGAAAUGCGUUGAUAUCCUAAGGAACACCGGUGGCGAAAGCGGCUUACUGGGUAUCUUCUGACGCUGAUGCACGAAAGCUAGGGUAGCGAACGGG